AUAGAAGAUGUAGAUAUGCUGUAGGAAAAAAAAAACAAAAUCAAAUAUUCACAUGGUGAAGAUCAAAAUGAUAUGUAAUAUCCUAUGCUUGUACAGAUCCUAUGCAUGGUAAGUCAACGGGCCAGAUGAGCAUCGUUUCCAAUCCGGCAACUCGGCAAGCACUGAACCGGGACCUGACCGAAUUCCUACCAAUUUCAAAACCAAAAACCAUCCUUUUUAUGCAUUGGCGGUUUGGGUUUGUAGGCAGAUCAAUUUUUACAACCCAGAACGAAUAUAAUUACAAUCCUUGCUAAUAUAUGUUGAGGUUUAAUAAUUUAUGUUUAAAAUCUAAUCUAAUUUGUUACGGUGGUUAUAUCAUUACACUUACAUGAUAUUAUAUUUGAGAUUUGCAUGCCCUACGACGUACUCCAGCCUUGGUUGAUUGAAAUAGAGAGAU
rnacentral:lncRNA from 1 species